GARAAAUUUACUUUCUUUGGUUUUAAUAAAAAAUUUAAUUUCUAAAUUAAAAAGUUUAGAUUAUAUUAUAGGACGAGAAGACCCUAUAGAACUUUACUAUCUUUUGGGUGAUUAAUUUUUUGAUAAUAUUUUUUUGUUACUUUAAAGAUAGUUUUAUUGGGGUGAUAAAAAAAAUUUCAUAACUUUUUUUAUUUUUUUCAUUUAUUUAUGAUUAUUUUAUCCCUUUCUAGGGAAAAAAGAUCAAGUUACCUUAGGGAUAACAGCGUUAUUAUUUUGGAGAGUUCUUAUUGAUAAAAUAGUUUGCGACCUCGAUGUUGGAUUAAAAUUAGUGUCAGGGGUAGAAUAU
rnacentral:rRNA from 1 species